rnacentral:rRNA from 1 species
CAGUAGCCGCGGUAAUACAGAGGGUGCGAGCGUUAAUCGGAUUUACUGGGCGUAAAGCGUGCGUAGGCGGCUUUUUAAGUCGGAUGUGAAAUCCCCGAGCUUAACUUGGGAAUUGCAUUCGAUACUGGGAAGCUAGAGUAUGGGAGAGGAUGGUAGAAUUCCAGGUGCAGCGGUGAAAUGCGUAGAGCUCUGGAGGAAUACCGAUGGCGAAGGCAGCCAUCUGGCCUAAUACUGACGCUGAGGUACGAAAGCAUGGGGAGCAAACAGGAUUAGAUACCCCCGUAGUCCCUGUCUCUUAUAC